rnacentral:rRNA from 1 species
GACGAACGCUGGCGGCGUGCUUAACACAUGCAAGUCGAACGGUAAGGCUCCAGCUUGCUGGGGUACACGAGUGGCGAACGGGUGAGUAACACGUGGGUGACCUGCCCUGCACUUCGGGAUAAGCCUGGGAAACUGGGUCUAAUACCGGAUAGGACCAUGGUGUGGAUACUGUGGUGGAAAGAUUUUUCGGUGUGGGAUGGGCCCGCGGCCUAUCAGCUUGUCGGUGGGGUAAUGGCCUACCAAGGCGGCGACGGGUAGCCGGCCUGAGAGGGGAGACGGCCACAUUGGGACUGAGGCACGGCCCAGACUCCUACGGGAGGCAGCAGUGGGGAAUAUUGCACAAUGGGCGGAAGCCUGAUGCAGCGACGCCGCGUGGGGGAUGACGGCCUUCGGGUUGUAAACUCCUUUCACCAUCGACGAAGGGUUUCUGACGGUAGAUGGAGAAGAAGCACCGGUUAACUACGUG